rnacentral:rRNA from 1 species
AACGAACGCUGGCGGCAGGCUUAACACAUGCAAGUCGAACGGUCCUUCGGGAUAGUGGCGGACGGGUGAGUAACACGUGGGAACGUACCCUUAGGUUCGGAACAACACAGGGAAACUUGUGCUAAUACCGGAUGAGCCCUUCGGGGGAAAGAUUUAUCGCCUUUGGAGCGGCCCGCGUCUGAUUAGCUUGUUGGUGAGGUAACGGCUCACCAAGGCUACGAUCAGUAGCUGGUCUGAGAGGAUGGCCAGCCACACUGGGACUGAGACACGGCCCAGACUCCUACGGGAGGCAGCAGUGGGGAAUCUUGCGCAAUGGGCGAAAGCCUGACGCAGCCAUGCCGCGUGGAUGAUGAAGGUCUUAGGAUUGUAAAAUCCUUUCACCGGGGACGAUAAUGACGGUACCCGGAGAAGAAGCCCCGGCUAACUUCGUGCCAGCCGCCGCCGUAAUAC